AUGCUCAGAAUUGUCCAAGCCAGGCUUCAGCAAUACGUGAACCAUGAACUCCCUGAUGUUCAGCUGGUUUUAGAAAAGGCAGAGGAACCAGAGAUCAAAUUGCUAACAUCCGUUGGAUCAUCGAAAAAACAAGAGAGUUCCAGAAAAAAGAUCUAUUUCUGCUUUAUUGACUAUGCCAAAGCCUUUGACUGUGUGGAUCACAAUAAACUGUGGAAAAUUCUGAAAGAGAUGGGAAUACCAGACCACCUAACCUGCCUCUUGAGAAAUCUGUAUGCAGGUGAGGAAGCAACAGUUAGAAGUGGACAUGGAACAACAGACUGGUUCCAAAUAGGAAAAGGAGUACGUCAAGGCUGUAUAUUGUCACCCUGUUUAUUUAACUUCUAUGCAGAGUACAUCAUGAGAAACGCUGGACUGGAAGAAACACAAGCUGGAAUCAAGACUGCCGGGAGAAAACUGAAUAACCUCAGAUAUGCAGAUGACAUCAUCCUUAUGGCAGAAAGUGAAGAGGAGCUAAAGAGCCUCUUGCUGAAAGUGAAAGAGGAGAGUGAAAAAGUUGGCUUAAAGCUCAACAUUCAGAAAACGAAGAUCAUAGCAUCUGGUCCCAUCACUUCACAGCAAAUAGACGGGGAAACUCUAGAAACAGUGUCAGACUUUAUUUUUUGGGGCUCCCAAAUCACUGCAGAUGGUGAUUGCAGCCAUGAAAUUAAAAGACACUUACUCCUUGGAAGGAAAGUUAUGACCAACCUAGAUAGUAUAUUCAAAAGCAGAGACAUUACUUUGCCAACAAAGGUCCGUCUAGUCAAGGCUAUGGUUUUUCCAGUGGUCAUGUAUGGAUGUGAGAGUUGGACUAUGAAGAAGGCUGAGCACCAAAGAAUUGAUGCGUUUGAACUGUGGUGUUGGAGAAGACUCUUGAGAGUCCCUUGGACUGCAAGGAGAUCCAACCAGUCCAUUCUGAAGGAAAUCAGCCCUGGGAUUUCUUUGGAAGGAAUGAUGCUAAAGCUGAAGCUCCAGUACUUUGGCCACCUCAUGCGAAGAGUUGACUCAUUGGAAAAGACUCUGAUGCUGGGAGGGAUUGGGGGCAGGAGGAGAAGGGGACGACCCAGGAUGAGAUGGCUGGAUGGCAUCAUGGACUCUAUGGAUGUGAGUCUGAGUGAACUCCGGGAGAUGGUGAUGGACAGGGAGGCCUGGUGUGCUGCCAUUCAUGGGGCCACAAAGAGUCGGACGCGACUGAGCGACUGA
rnacentral:lncRNA from 1 species